rnacentral:rRNA from 1 species
GAUGAACGCUGGCGGCGUGCUUAACACAUGCAAGUCGAACGGUGAACACGGAGCUUGCUUUGUGGGAUCAGUGGCGAACGGGUGAGUAACACGUGAGCAACCUGCCCCUGACUCUGGGAUAAGCGCUGGAAACGGCGUCUAAUAUUGGAUAUGUUACUUGACCGCAUGGUCUGCGUUUGGAAAGAUUUUUCGGUUGGUGAUGGGGUCGCGGCUUCUCAGCUUGUUGGUGAGGUAAUGGCUCACCAAGGCGUCGACGGGUAGCCGGCCUGCGAGGGUGACCGGCCACACGGGGACUGAGAGACGGCCCAGACUGCUACGGGAGGCAGCAGUGGGGAGUAUGACACAGUGGGCGCAAGCCUGAGGCAGCAACGCCGCGUGAGGGAUGACGGCCUUCGGGUUGUAAACCGCUGUUAGCAGGGAAGAAGCGAAAGUGACGGUACCUGAAGAAAAAGCGCCGGCUAACUACGUG